UGGCUCAGUGGUAGAGUGCUUGCCUUGCACGCAUGAGGCCCUGGGUUCGAUUCCUCAG
rfam:Dipodomys ordii contig_20445, whole genome shotgun sequence.